UUGAUUUGCUUCAAAUGUGCUGAAACAACCGAUGAAAGUUCCUGUACUUCGAGUCCAUGUGCAGCUGAAGCAUUCUGCAAGAGUGACUACAAACUCAAUGGGGCAGGAGUGCCUGUUGUCACUAAGUCCUGUGCAGCUGAUUGCAAAGCUGUUGACAAUACAGCAGACAAAAACGUGAGGACAACUUGCUGCAAAACGGGAUAUUGUAAUGGAAAUGCCUUGAGUUGCAACACUUGUUCUAAUGAAGCUGACGAACCUAAAUGUGCAGCAACAGCCUGCGCUGCAACUGACAAACUAUGUCAGAGCACUUAUACCCUCACUGCACCAGAUGUUCCAGUAUCAAAGGCAUGUGCUGGGGUUUGCACACCAUCCGCUACUGUGAAGUGCUGCGGUACAUCUCAGUGUAACG